rnacentral:rRNA from 1 species
UACGAAGGGUGCAAGCGUUACUCGGAAUUACUGGGCGUAAAGCGUGCGUAGGUGGUGAGUUAAGUCUGAUGUGAAAUCCCCGGGCUCAACCUGGGAAUGGCAUUGGAUACUGGCUCGCUAGAGUGCGGUAGAGGGUGGUGGAAUUCCCGGUGUAGCAGUGAAAUGCGAAGAGAUCGGGAGGAACAUCUGAGGCGACGGCGACCACCUGGACCAACACUGACACUGAGGCACGAAAGCGUGGGGAGCAAACAGG